rnacentral:rRNA from 1 species
CCGAUGAGGUGGAAACGGACAGAGCUGGCGUAUCUGGCCUGUGUUCAGCCGUGGGCUCGUUGGCGCCGGGGAUGCCGCUCUCCAGAUUGGGACGGUGGCCUGGCUGCUGGCGGGUUCGCGUUGCAUUGGCAGGUGGAGUGCGCUGAGGCGCUCGGUGCAGCGGCAUGAGCUCGGCUUUGAGGCCAGCCCCGCAAGGGGUCUGGUACCCGGGUCGGGGGAGUGCUGUUUGUGCUGGGUGUUUGCAAUGGGCGAUGGUUUCGGGCCCGGGUGGGUGCCGAGCCGGCAGUCGGUGGCGGUCGCAUGCGACACGUGCCAGCGGUCGGUUCGGUCCUGUUCGAGCUCUCUUCUGCCCGACCUCGGUGUAAAAGCCGGUCAUCUGUCCGACCCGUCUUGAAACACGGACCAAGGAGUUUAGCGUGUGCGCGAGUCAUUGGGCGUUCAAAACCCAAAGGCGUAAUGAAAGUGAAGGUCUGCCUUGUGCAGCUGAUGUGUGAUCCUGGCCACUGCGGUGCGUCCGGGCGCAACAUAGUCCCGUCCCGAUCGCUUGCGAUGGGGCGGAGACAGAGCGUACGCGCUGAG